CGCCCCACUGCUCCAGAAUAGCUCUUGGAAACGUAGGUGGUAAUGCUGGAUGCUCCAACUUGACGCAUGUCUUGUUGGGAAAGUGUUUAGUGGCAUUGGAUGGGGUCGCGUCCUAUCAGCNUUGUAGGCGGGGUAAUGGCCCACCUAGGCUUCGACGGGGUAGCCGGCCUGAGAGGGCGGACGGCCACAUUGGGACUGAGAUACGGCCCAGACUCCUACGGGAGGCAGCAGUA
rnacentral:rRNA from 1 species